UGGGGAAUAUUGCACAAUGGGCGAAAGCCUGAUGCAGCAACGCCGCGUGAGCGAUGAAGGCCUUCGGGUCGUAAAGCUCUGUCCUCAAGGAAGAUAAUGACGGUACUUGAGGAGGAAGCCCCGGCUAACUACGUGCCAGCAGCCGCGGUAAUACGUAGGGGGCUAGCGUUAUCCGGAAUUACUGGGCGUAAAGGGUGCGUAGGUGGUUUCUUAAGUCAGAGGUGAAAGGCUACGGCUCAACCGUAGUAAGCCUUUGAAACUGAGAAACUUGGGUGCAGGAGAGGAGAGUAGAAUUCCUAGUGUAGCGGUGAAAUGCGUAGAUAUUAGGAGGAAUACCAGUUGCGAAGGCGGCUCUCUGGACUGUAACUGACACUGAGGCACGAAAGCGUGGGGAGCAAACAGGAUUAGAUACCCUGGUAGUCCACGCCGUAAACGAUGAGUACUAGCUGUCGGAGGUUACCCCCUUCGGUGGCGCAGCUAACGCAUUAAGUACUCCGCCUGGGAAGUACGCUCGCAAGAGUG
rnacentral:rRNA from 1 species